rnacentral:lncRNA from 1 species
CCUCGGACCGCUAGUAAAUAGAAAAUAGAGUCUGAACGUGACAUGAAAUUUUGAAAUUUACAGCGUGUGAAAGGACAAAAAUGACCCUGAUUCCACCUUUUGUCAUUUGUCAACUAGCUUCACGUGAUUCCCCGACAUAUCACAAUCACAUACACAAAAAAGCAGGUGGCAACAUGUAACUUAAAAGAACAAAAUAACCCAGCCAAACCCACGACCCUACACAAAAAGAGAUCCAAGAAUGAUGAAGGGCAAAAGUGUAAUCAAAGUCCUAGCAACUCCAAAUCUUGAUGAAGACGAAUAGUAUUUCUCGAACUGUAACGAGUCGACGGCCAACGGCAUGUUCUCCUGGUCGGGGCUGCACUUAAUCUUGGGAGUUGUCCGUUCUUGAAAUUCGAAGGCAUCUUAUACUUAUAUAGGGAUAUAUGAGGAGAUAUAAUUCAAAAAAAUAAAAAAAUUUAUUUACCAUAGCAAAGAUUGAAUCAUUGGGUUUAACUUAUUCAAGUUAGGUCUCACAAGAAACUACUUAGACAAAAUAAGUUAAUGAGCAAUUUUUCCUAAAACUUAACAAGACUUCUCUUUUUUCGUCAAUAAGAACAAACAAAAGUUACCCAACGAUAUGAUUUCAAGUGAAUUCAUUCUAUGGAUAUAAUGAAAAUAAUAUUAAUUAGGAUGUUGCAAGAUUGUCUAUAAACUUAGUAGAAACGAUGAUUUCAUCUAUAAAUUAAAGUAAAUAUAUUCAUAAAAAAAGUAAAAGAAUUAUUGCCAUCGUAGUGACAAUAAUAGAUAGAUAUCCUCGGACCGCUAGUAAAUAGAAAAUAGAGUCUGAACGUGACAUGAAAUUUUGAAAUUUACAGCGUGUGAAAGGACAAAAAUGACCCUGAUUACACCUUUUGUCAUUUGUCAACUAGCUUCACGUGAUUCCCCGACACAUCACAAUCACAUACACAAAAAAGCAGGUGGCAACAUGUAACUUAAAAGAACGAAAUAACCCAGCCAAACCCACGACCCUACACAAAAAGAGAUCCAAGAAUGAUGAAGGGCAAAAGUGUAAUCAAAGUCCUAGCAACUUCAAAUCUUGAUGAAGACGAAUAGUAUUUCUCGAACUGUAACGAGUCGACGGCCAACGGCAUGUUCUCCUGGUCGGGGCUGCACAUGGACUCGUGGGGAGGGUGCGCACUGUACAUGAUGGCUCGCAACACGGCCGAGACAGUAGGUAUGUACGCGGUCUUGUUACGUGCCAGCAGCCACGUUAGUCCCAUCAAUUGGCAGUCUCGACUCAACAUUUUGCUAGCGCGGUCACUGCUUUCGCGGCCUAGUUCUUUUGUUCGAUUUUUGCCAUCACUAGUCAACUGCAAAAAUAAUCACAACCAAAGGGCAAUUCAGACAUUUCCAUAUUCAAUUUCUCAAGCUAAGGUGCCAAAAAAAAAAAAAAAAAAAA